GCCUCGGUAGUGUAAUGAAAAGCACGGCAGACCGGAUAUCUGUAAGUGCGGGUACGAGUCCCGCCUGAGGUC
rnacentral:tRNA from 1 species